rnacentral:sRNA from 1 species
UCCCUAAAAUGUGCUUAAGUGCUGCUAGU